GACACUUUGGCCGAGUGGUUAAGGCGGUGCCCUGCGUAGGCAUUACAUUCGUGUGCGUAGGUUCGAAUCCUGCAGGUGUCG
rnacentral:tRNA from 1 species